GCCUCAUUGGCUUAGUGGCAGAGCGUCUGUCUUGUAAACAGAAGGUCGCUGGUUCGAUUCCCAGCAUGGGGCA